rnacentral:rRNA from 1 species
GUCCACGCCUUAAACUAUGAAUACUAAGUGUCGGCGGGUUACCGCCGGUGCCGCAGCUAACGCAUUAAGUAUUCCGCCUGGGAAGUACGGCCGCAAGGUUGAAACUCAAAGGAAUUGACGGGGUCCCGCACAAGCGGUGGAGCAUGUUGUUUAAUUCGACGCAACGCGAAGAACCUUACCCAGGCUGGACAUGCAGGUAGUAGAAGGGUGAAAGCCCAACGAGGUAGCAAUACCAUCCUGCUCAGGUGCUGCAUGGCUGUCGU